GAGUUUGAUCCUGGCUCAGGAUGAACGCUAGCGGCAGGCCUAACACAUGCAAGUCGAGGGGUAACAGAAAAGCUUGCUUUUGCUGACGACCGGCGCACGGGUGCGUAAUGCGUAUGCAACCUACCUCAUACUGGAGGAUAGCCCCUGGAAACGGGGAUUAAUACUCCAUAGUAUCACAAUUUCGCAUGUUAUUGUGAUUAAAGUUUUUCGGUAUGAGAUGGGCAUGUGUCCCAUUAGCUUGUUGGUGAGGUAACGGCUCACCAAGGCAACGAUGGGUAGGGGGCCUGAGAGGGUGGUCCCCCACACUGGUACUGAGACACGGACCAGACUCCUACGGGAGGCAGCAGUGAGGAAUAUUGGUCAAUGGAGGAAACUCUAAACCAGCCAUGCCGCGUGAAGGAUGACGGCCCUAUGGGUUGUAAACUUCUUUUAUAGAGGAAGAAACUUGUCUACGUGUAGACAACUGACGGUACUCUACGAAUAAGGAUCGGCUAACUCCGUGCCAGCAGCCGCGGUAAUACGGAGGAUCCAAGCGUUAUCCGGAUUCAUUGGGUUUAAAGGGUCCGUAGCGGAUUUUUAAGUCAGUGGUGAAAGCCGACAGCUCAACUGUCGAACUGCCAUUGAUACUGGAAAUCUUGAGUACAAAUGAAGUAGGCGGAAUGAGUCAUGUAGCGGUGAAAUGCAUAGAUAUGACUCGGAACACCGAUUGCGAAGGCAGCUUACUAACAUGUAACUGACGCUGAGGGACGAAAGCGUGGGGAGCGAACAGGAUUAGAUACCCUGGUAGUCCACGCCGUAAACGAUCAUCACUCGCUGUUGGCGAUAUACUGUCAGCGGCCAAGCGAAAGUAUUAAGUGAUGCACCUGGGGAGUACGCCGGCAACGUGAAACUCAAAGGAAUUGACGGGGGCCUGCACAAGCGGUGGAGCACGUGGUUUGAUUCGAUGAUACGCGAGGAACCUUACAGGGCUUAAAUGUAGUUUGACCGGCUUGGAACAGGC
rnacentral:rRNA from 1 species